rnacentral:rRNA from 1 species
CCUACGGGAGGCAGCAGUGAGGAAUAUUGGUCAAUGGCCGAGAGGCUGAACCAGCCAAGUCGCGUGAGGGAAGACUGUCCUAUGGAUUGUAAACCUCUUUUGUCAGGGAGCAAAGUCCCCCACGUGUGGGGUUUGGAGAGUACCUGAAGAAAAAGCAUCGGCUAACUCCGUGCCAGCAGCCGCGGUAAUACGGAGGAAGCGAGCGUUAUCCGGAUUUAUUGGGUUUAAAGGGUGCGUAGGCGGGUUAUCAAGUCAGCGGUAAAAUGGUGGAGCUCAACCCCGUCCAGCCGUUGAAACUGAGGAUCUUGAGUGGGCGAGAAGUACGCGGAAGGCGUGGUGUAGCGGUGAAAUGCAUAGAUAUCACGCAGAACUCCGAUUGCGAAGGCAGCAUACCGGCGCCCGACUGACGCUGAAGCACGAAAGCGUGGGUAUCGAACAGGAUUAGAUACCCGAGUAGUC